rnacentral:rRNA from 1 species
UACGUAGGGUGCGAGCGUUGUCCGGAAUUAUUGGGCGUAAAGAGCUUGUAGGUGGUUUGUCGCGUCUGCUGUGAAAAUCCGAGGCUCAACCUCGGACUUGCAGUGGGUACGGGCAGACUAGAGUGUGGUAGGGGAGACUGGAAUUCCUGGUGUAGCGGUGAAAUGCGCAGAUAUCAGGAGGAACACCGAUGGCGAAGGCAGGUCUCUGGACCGAUACUGACGCUGAGGAGCGAAAGCGUGGGGAGCGAACAGG